UCCUUCCUUAUCUGAAUAACAGCUUAUCAUGCUUUAAGACAAAUUCUUAUAAGGAGGCUUUUUGGAACUUUGAGUCUAGAUUAGAUGUUUCUCCUCUGUGCACCUAUUCAUUCACUCAUUCAUUCAUUCAUUCAUUUGUUCAUUCACAUACAACAUCCUUUUCUUACUCUUCUAUUUGCAUGUACUUGACAUGUGCCUCUGUGUUAUUUUUCUUGAUAGGACUUGAGAGCCACAGAACACGUCUCAUUUAUCUUCCUCUCUCCAGUACUAAUUUAGUGGUCAAUAGAACGGAUGUUCAUUGGUUAAUUUUCUGUAUAACGAGGAGAGUAAUGAUGCCAUCUGUUUUAUUUCUAUUUGUUCCUGUGUUUGCUCCAUGCCUGUCAGUCAGUUACCUGCACUAAGGGAACCAGGGCAAAAGAGAUUCCCUUUUGGAUUCACCAAGGUUUGUAGCGAUGAUGUCAGUGAUGUUAUUUUAAUGUCUACUUCAACCCAUUCACUGGAUUAAAACGCAAUUGUUAAAAUUAUCUGUAAAAGACUAGGAAGUUCAAAAUAAGGUGAAAAUACAAAUUAAGUAAAUUUCUCAGUAAACCACACCUGAAAUAUAUUAUUGUGUGAGUAAAACAUAAAUUAUAUUAAUAAAAUUGUUAAUUGGUCUUUGAAUUAGAUUUUA
rnacentral:lncRNA from 1 species